ensembl:lncRNA
UGCCUGUGGCUGCUUGAUUAUCCAUCCCAUACUAGUCCCUGAUACAUACCGUAUGCCACUUAAGCCAAAACAAAUGGCUUUGUGUUAAAGCAUAACAGAAGCAUAGAAGUGUCUAUCGAAAGUGACCAGGAACAUACUGUUGUGCCUGUUUCUUCAUAAAGAUGAUGGCUUUUCCUCAGCUGCCACUGCAUGUGAGUUUAUGUAACCAUGUGCUCCAAAGUGUUCAACAUGUUGGAUUCUGGGAGUGUGCUCUGGAGUGCUGGCAAAAAGAGGAGCAAAAAAACCGACUUCAGUGUGAGCUGCCUGAACUGAAGUCCCCUUUCUAGUUUUGCAUAGUUUGUUGCAAAAGUUGCAAUCCACUGUGUUGUAUGCAACUAAAGGUUCUGCCAAAUAACAUUAUCCAAAAGAGGUUGAUUAUGCUAUUUUCAGGGUUGCCCAAGGCGAGUGAGAGGGUAAGGAAUGGGGACUUUCAAUUACCUAUAUGCAUAAAUGCAACACUACAGAAAUGAAACAGAUGCAAACAGAUUUGUUACAUUCCAUUUAUUACAGCAUAUUGACCUCUGUGGAAGCCACUCUCAUUUUUGUGGCAGGCUUAAUGAACAUAGAGAACCAUUUAAUUACUUUAGAAAAAGUUUCUCAGAAGUGAGCUCUGACACUACAGCAGCUGCUGUCAAACAAGCAGGAAAACAGGCAAAGCAAAGCUGGCUUACUUGUCAUGGUUGGAGUAAUGAAUGUAAGGAGCAGUUAAACAGGAGUGACAGGAAGCUGCUGGUGUACUCACGUGAGGGUGCACAGGUACUGUUGCUUGUUCUCUGCCUCCUUACUGUAGUUACAUCAGCUUCAGUCUGAGAUGGAGGACUUGAACAGCCUUUUGGAAACAGUUUGUCUCUGUAAGAGGCUCUAGUAGAGUCCUCCUAGCCUGAAGAUGGUCCUGGGCCAACAGGCAGCAGGGCUGCUAGGAAUUCCCUGUUGCUCCCACCUUUAUUAAUUUUUAGGAUGAUAUGAAAGAGUUCGUAAGAGCAUUUACAGGGAUCUUUGUACAGUGGUAUCUACUAAAAAACUAACCAACAGAAGUUCUCACAAAUAUGCAGUGACACCUGGUAGGCAGUAAGACUUCCAGGGCAACAUCUUCAUGAGAACCAUUAACCAAGGGCAAGUUCUAUGAAAAGUGUAUCACAGCUCUUCCUCAAAACAGGAGAGUAAAGUUGUAACCAGGAAGUAGAUGAUAGGAUGACAAACAAGGACUGGCAGGUUUAUGAGCUUCCACAAUGAAGCAAGUACAGGACUUCAGCGCUUGUUCCAACACUUGUUAUAACCACACUGAGUUUAGCUGCAGCAGUAUAUGGUAUAGAAACUGGGAAAGCUGAUCACUUCCUGUCAGCCAGCCUGAUUUGACUGACAGUCAUUGCUUUAAAGCCAGGUGCUGGUAGUAUAUGACACACAAAACCAGCUCUUUUGAACACAUGGUUUCUUCUGUAGACAGGCCUCCAGCAUAAGUACAUACUAAAUGUGUUGGUGGUUUUUUGUUUUUUUUUUUUAAUAAUACCUCUCCAUGUAGGGGGAGAGGCUAUUCUGGGACUGUUCAGCCUGGGAAAGAGAUGGCUUGGGGAGAGCUUAUCAGUGGGUAUAAAUGACUGCUGGAAGGCAGUAGCAAACAGAGCCAGACUCUGCUUAGGACAAGACAGGGCAAAAAUACAUUUGUUUUUACCAGUGAGGAUGGUCAAAUAUGAGAACAGGUUGUACAGAGGUAGUGGAGCCUCCAUCAGCGGAAACGCUCAGUUUAAGAAAAGUUUGCUGUAAUGGAUGGAUUCGUCUUCUGAGAGGUGGCUUUACUGGGAUGCUCUCAAUGACUAAACUGCUUUUACUGCUCAUAUUAAAUGCAAUUUGAAC